CCUGUUGUCUGGGACCACCAAAUCCACCAUCAUAUCCACCAGCAGGUGGACCAGCCCGACCACCACCUCUUGUAUCACCUAGACCAUCAUAACCACUCGCAGGGCCGCCAUAUGAUGGGGGAUACGAUGUAGGCCCACCAGUGUAGCUUGUUGGUGGAGGAACAGCCUCUCCACCAUAAUUAGUGUUUCCACCAAAAGAAUUUGGAGGAGGAUAAUAUCCAGCAGACCCACCACCAUAAGAUUGGGGUGCAGCUGGAGGAACUUGUCCAAAACCACCAUCUCCACCCCCACCUCUUGCCUGAUUACCACCAUAAGAACCCCCUCUACUACCACCCUCAUAAUUACCACCUCUAUUGCCUCCACUGCC
rnacentral:lncRNA from 1 species